UACGGAGGGUGCAAGCGUUAUCCGGAUUUAUUGGGUUUAAAGGGUGCGUAGGCGGUCUUAUAAGUCAGUGGUGAAAUCCUAUCGCUUAACGAUAGACGUGCCAUUGAUACUGUAGGACUUGAGUACAGAUGCCGUUGGCGGAAUGUGUCAUGUAGCGGUGAAAUGCAUAGAUAUGACACAGAACACCGAUUGCGAAGGCAGCUGACGAAACUGUAACUGACGCUGAUGCACGAAAGCGUGGGGAUCAAACAGG
rnacentral:rRNA from 1 species